UACGAGGGAUGCAAGCGUUAUCCGGAAUUAUUGGGCGUAAAGCGUUUGUAGGCGGGCGAGUGUGUUUAAUGUUAAAUCUUAAAGCUCAACUUUGAAAUUGCGUUAAAAACUGCUUGUCUUGAGUAUGGUAGGGGUAAAGGGAAUUCCCAGUGUAGCGGUGAAAUGCGUAGAUAUUGGGAAGAACACUAAACAGCGAAGGCACUUUACUAGGCUAAUACUGACGCUGAGAAACGAAAGGUAAGGUAGCGAAACGGAUUAGAUACCCGUGUAGUCUUACCCGUAAACUAUGGACACUAAACGGUAAAUUUUUAAUUUACUGUUAAAGCUAACGCGUUAAGUGUCCCGCCUGGGGAGUAUGCUUGCAAAAGUGAAACUCAAAGGAAUUGACGGGGGCCCGCACAAGCGGUGGAGCAUGUGGUUUAAUUCGACGGUACACGAAGAACCUUACCAGGAUUUGACAUGCUAGAUAGUUGCUUGAAAGAGUAACGUGCCGUAAGGAAUCUAGACACAGGUGGUGCAUGGCUGUCGUCAGUUCGUGUUGUGAAAUGUUGGGUUAAGUCCCGCAACGAACGCAACCCUUGUCUUUAGUUAUUUUCUAAAGAGACUGCCUGUAAUAAACAGGAGGAAGGUAAGAAUGAGGUCAAGUCAUCAUGCCCCUUAUGUCCUGGGCUACACACGUGCUACAAUGGGAAAGACAAUGAGCUGCAAAUCUGUAAAUUUAAGCAAAUCUCUUAAACUUUCUCGUAGUUCGGAUUGUGGGCUGCAACUCGCCCACAUGAAGUUGGAAUCGCUAGUAAUCGCCAGUCAGCUAUAUGGCGGUGAAUCCGUUCCCGGGCCU
rnacentral:rRNA from 1 species